rnacentral:tRNA from 1 species
GGGCGAUUAGCUCAGCUGGAUAGAGCGGCAGCCUCCGGAGCUGCAGGCCGCGCGUUCGAAUCGCGCAUCGCCCACCA